rnacentral:lncRNA from 1 species
CCUGGAUGAUGGCUUGACUAACCAAGGCUACUGGCUGCUGAGGGGUUUCUGAGGAAACUUUGGUAGCCUGAUUGAGGCCAUCUGCCUCUCCACCUGCACUGUAGUUGUGGAGUACACCACUCUGUUCAUGGAGGCCAUGCACACUGGCCAGAGAAGAGCAGCCCAUGUGCAAAAGGAUCCAAUUCUCUUGGAAUAUUUAAUAUUGAAAUCCGACCACCACGCUGUAAAGAAGACUGCAGCCCAUGGAGAAGUCCACACAGCCAGAAACUGAGGCCCAAGGCUCACAUCCCCAGCUGAGCUCCUGGCCUACAGCCAGCCCCAAGGUGCCGUCAUGUGAAUGAGACAUUUUGAAAGUGGAUCCCCCAGGCCCAGGCAAGCCAUUCCUGACAAUAAAAUGUGGAACAGAGAUGUGAUUCCUUUUUAAGACCUCCCCAAAUAACAGAUUCCUAAGCAAAAAUAAAGGACUGUUGUUGUUUUAAGCCACUAGGUUUUGGAGUGGUUUGUUAUGUGCCAUAGAUACAUUCCUGCAUAUUACCUGCUUGUCUCCAAAAAAUUCAAAACUCAGUCUAAUAGGUGGGACUUCCCCUGAGGGCUCUGGCAAUUAUCAAACUUUCCCCAUAACUUUCACCAAAUUAUUGAGCUGCUCCAGGAGAGGAAGAAUAUAAAGAGUAUAUUUACAAUUUUGUCUGGAAUUGGUGGGUUCUUGGUCUCGCUGACUUCAAGAAUGAAGCCACAAACCCUUGUGGUGAGUGUUACAGUUCUUAAAGAUGGUGUGUCUGCAGUUUAUUCCUUCAGAUGUUCAGA